GGAUUGUGGCUCAGCGGUAGAGCACUCGCCUAGCAUGUGUGAGGCCCUGGGUUAGAUCCUCAGCACCA
rnacentral:tRNA from 1 species